rnacentral:rRNA from 1 species
GUCGAACGGCAGCACGGGGGCAACCCUGGUGGCGAGUGGCGAACGGGCGAGUAAAGCAUCGGAACGUACCCGGAAGUGGGGGAUAACGUAGCGAAAGUUACGCUAAUACCGCAUAUUCUGUGAGCAGGAAAGAGGGGGAUCGCAAGACCUCUUGCUUUCGGAGCGGCCGAUGUCGGAUUAGCUAGUUGGUGGGGUAAAAGCCUACCAAGGCGACGAUCCGUAGCUGGUCUUAGAGGAUGAUCAGCCACACUGGGACUGAGACACGGCCCAGACUCCUACGGGAGGCAGCAGUGGGGAAUUUUGGACAAUGGGGGCAACCCUGAUCCAGCCAUGCCGCGUGCGGGAAGAAGGCCUUCGGGUUGUAAACCGCUUUUGUCGGGGACGAAAUCUCUCAAGCUAAUACCUUGAGGGGAUGACGGUACCCGAAGAAUAAGCACCGGCUAACUACGUGCCAGCAGCCGCGGUAAUACGUAGGGUGCAAGCGUUAAUCGGAAUUACUGGGCGUAAAGCGUGCGCAGGCGGCUUUGCAAGACAGGUGUGAAAUCCCCGGGCUUAACCUGGGAACCGCACUUGUGACUGCAAGGCUUGAGUGCGGCAGAGGGGGAUGGAAUUCCGCGUGUAGCAGUGAAAUGCGUAGAUAUGCGGAGGAACACCGAUGGCGAAGGCAGUCCCCUG